CAGGUGUGCCCCAGGUGAGCUCAGGUGUGCUCCAGGUGAUCUCAGGUGAGCUCAGGUGUGCCCCAGGUAUGAUCAGGUAUCCCCAGGUGAUCUCAGGUGUGCUCCAGGUGUGUCCAGGUGAGCUCAGGUGUGCCCCAAGUGUGUUCAGGUGUGCCCCAGGUGAGCUCAGGUGUGCCCCAGGUGAGCUCAGGUGAUCUCAGGUGUGCCCAGGUGUGCCCCAGGUAUGCUGAGGUAAGCUCAGCUGUGCUCAGGUGUGCCCAGGUGAGCUGUCCCUGUCCCAUUCUCCAAGAGGGAAAAUCCAGGCCCUGGAAAGGCCCCGCCCCAUCCAGGUGUGCACCUGUCCCAUC